AUUGAACGCUGGCGGCAGGCCUAACACAUGCAAGUCGAGCGGAUGAAGGGAGCUUGCUCCUGGAUUCAGCGGCGGACGGGUGAGUAAUGCCUAGGAAUCUGCCUGGUAGUGGGGGAUAACGUCCGGAAACGGGCGCUAAUACCGCAUACGUCCUGAGGGAGAAAGUGGGGGAUCUUCGGACCUCACGCUAUCAGAUGAGCCUAGGUCGGAUUAGCUAGUUGGUGGGGUAAAGGCCUACCAAGGCGACGAUCCGUAACUGGUCUGAGAGGAUGAUCAGUCACACUGGAACUGGGACACGGUCCAGACUCCUACGGGAGGCAGCAGUGGGGAAUAUUGGACAAUGGGCGAAAGCCUGAUCCAGCCAUGCCGCGGGUGUGAAGAAGGUCUUCGGAUUGUAAAGCACUUUAAGUUGGGAGGAAGGGCAGUAAGUUAAUACCUUGCUGUUUUGACGUUACCAACAGAAUAAGCACCGGCUAACUUCGU
rnacentral:rRNA from 1 species